rnacentral:tRNA from 1 species
GAGUUAAGUUUACAAAGGGUUUUGUAAUAGAUCUGCAAAAUCUAUAAAUAUUAGGGUUCAAUUCCCUCUUAACUCU